rnacentral:lncRNA from 1 species
GACCUCCGUCAGUUUAGAUGGGCUAUUUUUUUAUACCCAGCCACUCGUCAGUCAGUGGGCCUAUUCCACCACCGACCUGUCAGUUAGCUGGGCCUAUUCUACCACAGACCUCAGUCAGUUAGUUGGGCCUAUUCUACCACAGACCUCAGUCAGAUUAGUGUGCUAUUCUACCACAACUCAGUCAGUUAGCGGGCCUCAUUCUACCACAAACCUCAGUCAUUUAGCUGGGCCUAAUUUUUUCUUUAAACCCCACCGACCUGUUCCAGUCCGUGGGCCUAUCCACCACAGACUGUCAGUUAGCU